GACGAACGCUGGCGGCGUGCUUAACACAUGCAAGUCGAGCGGAAAGGCCCUUCGGGGUACUCGAGCGGCGAACGGGUGAGUAACACGUGAGUAAUCUGCCCUUGGCUUUGGGAUAACUACCGGAAACGGUGGCUAAUACCGGAUACGACAACCGUCUGCAUGGGCUGGUUGUGGAAAGUUUUUUCGGCCAGGGAUGUGCUCGCGGCCUAUCAGCUUGUUGGUGGGGUAAUGGCCUACCAAGGCCUCGACGGGUAGCCGGCCUGAGAGGGUGACCGGCCACACUGGGACUGAGACACGGCCCAGACUCCUACGGGAGGCAGCAGUGGGGAAUAUUGGACAAUGGGCGGAAGCCUGAUCCAGCAACGCCGCGUGAGGGAUGACGGCCUUCGGGUUGUAAACCUCUUUCAGUACCGACGAAGCGCCGAUGAUGGUGGUGACGGUAGGUACAGAAGAAGCACCGGCCAACUACGU
rnacentral:rRNA from 1 species